GCCACUUUAGCUCAGUUGGUAGAGCACAUCAUUCGUAAUGAUGGGGUCACGUGUUCGAUUCACGUAGGUGGCACCA
rnacentral:tRNA from 1 species